AAAGGGCUGCAGUAUUUUGACUGUACAAAGGUAGCAUAAUCAAUAGUCUUUUAAUUGAUGACUUGAAUGAAAGAUUGGAUGAAAUAUAAACUGUCUCUUGUUUAUAAUAAGAAAUUAAUUUUUUAAUUAAAAAGUUAAAAUAAAUUUAAAAGACGAGAAGACCCUAUAGAGUUUUAUAUUUAAAUUAAAUAAAGUUAUUUUUUAUAAUAGUAAUAAAAAUUAAUUUAAUUAUUUUGUUGGGGUGAUAAAAAAAUAAGAAUAACUUUUUUUAAUUUAAAACAAUAAUAAUUGAAUAAUUGAUCCAAAAAUUUUGAUUAAAAGAGUAAAUUACCUUAGGGAUAACAGCGUAAUUUUUUUUUUUAGUUCAAAUAAGAAAAAGAGUUUGCGACCUCGAUGUUGGAUUAAGAUAAAAUUUAUAUGCAAAAGUAUAAAA
rnacentral:rRNA from 1 species